rnacentral:rRNA from 1 species
AUUGAACGCUGGCGGCAGGCCUAACACAUGCCAGUCGACCGAGUGGCGGACGGGUGAGUAAUGUCUGGGAAACUGCCUGAUGGAGGGGGAUAACUACUGUCAACGGUAGCUACUACCGCAUACCAUCAGAUGUGCCCAGAGGGGAUUAGCUAGUUGGUGGGGUAACGGCUCACCCAGGCGACGAUCCCUAGCUGGUCUGCGAGGAUGACCAGCCACACUGGAACUGCGACACGGUCCAGACUCCUACGGGAGGCAGCAGUGGGGAAUAUUGCACAAUGGGCGCAAGACUGAUGCAGCCAUGCCGCUUGUAGGAAGAAGGCCUGCGGGUGGUAAAGUACUUGCAGCGGGGAGGCGUGACCCGCAGAAGAAGCACCGGCGAACUCCGUGCCAGCAGCGGCGGGAAUUC